GCGUCGGUGGCAGAGUGGUCAAUUGCAACAGACUGUAAAUCUGUCGGGCAUCGCCCUACGAAGGUUCAAAUCCUUCCCGACGCACAA
rnacentral:tRNA from 1 species